AUUGAACGCUGGCGGCAUGCCUUACACAUGCAAGUCGAACGGCAGCAUGAUCUAGCUUGCUAGAUUGAUGGCGAGUGGCGAACGGGUGAGUAAUACAUCGGAACGUGCCCUGUAGUGGGGGAUAACUAGUCGAAAGAUUAGCUAAUACCGCAUACGACCUGAGGGUGAAAGUGGGGGACCGCAAGGCCUCAUGCUAUAGGAGCGGCCGAUGUCUGAUUAGCUAGUUGGUGAGGUAAAGGCUCACCAAGGCGACGAUCAGUAGCUGGUCUGAGAGGACGAUCAGCCACACUGGGACUGAGACACGGCCCAGACUCCUACGGGAGGCAGCAGUGGGGAAUUUUGGACAAUGGGCGAAAGCCUGAUCCAGCAAUGCCGCGUGUGUGAAGAAGGCCUUCGGGUUGUAAAGCACUUUUGUCCGGAAAGAAAUGGCUCUGGUUAAUACCUGGGGUCGAUGACGGUACCGGAAGAAUAAGGACCGGCUAAUUACGUG
rnacentral:rRNA from 1 species